rnacentral:rRNA from 1 species
GUGGGGAAUAUUGGACAAUGGGCGCAAGCCUGAUCCAGCCAUGCCGCGUGAGUGAUGAAGGCCUUAGGGUUGUAAAGCUCUUUCAGUGGGGACGAUAAUGACGGUACCCACAGAAGAAGCCCCGGCUAACUUCGUGCCAGCAGCCGCGGUAAUACGAAGGGGGCUAGCGUUGUUCGGAUUUACUGGGCGUAAAGCGCACGUAGGCGGAUCGUUAAGUCGAGGGUGAAAUCCUGGAGCUCAACUCCAGAACUGCCUUCGAUACUGGCGAUCUUGAGUCCGGAAGAGGUGAGGGGAACGCCUAGUGUACGGGUGGAAUUCGUAGAUAUUAGGACGAACACCAGUGGCGAAGGCGGCUCACUGGGCCGGUACUGACGCUGAGGUGCGAAAGCGUGGGGAGCAAACAGGAGUAGAAACCCUGGUAGUCC